rnacentral:snoRNA from 18 species
CAAGCUCUUAUUAGUAGUGCGUGCGCCACAAAAGCAAGAGGCGCCAUGCACGAAACUGAGGAGCGAGAGUU